AGUGGGGCCGAGGUAUGUUAGUGCCGC
rnacentral:piRNA from 1 species